UAGUGAAUCUUCGGCAAUGGGGGCAACCCUGAACGAGCAACGCAGCGUGAGUGAAGAAGGUUUUCGGAUCGUAAAGCUCUGUUGUAAGAGAAGAACGUGUGUGAGAGUGGAAAGUUCACACAGUGACGGUAACUUACCAGAAAGGGACGGCUAACUACGUGCCAGCAGCCGCGGUAAUACGUAGGUCCCGAGCGUUGUCCGGAUUUAUUUGGCGUAAAGCGAGCGCAGGCGGUUUAAUAAGUCGGAAGUUAAAGGCAGUGGCUUAACCAUUGUUCGCUUUGGAAACUGUUAAACUUGAGUGCAGAAGGGGAGAGUGGAAUUCCAUGUGUAGCGGUGAAUUGCGUAGGUAUAUGGAGGAACACCGGUGGCGAAAGCGGCUCUCUGGGCUGUAACUGACGCUGAGGCUCGAAAGCGUGGGGAGCAAAGAGG
rnacentral:rRNA from 1 species